rnacentral:rRNA from 1 species
UACGGAGGGUGCAAGCGUUAUCCGGAUUCACUGGGUUUAAAGGGUGCGUAGGCGGGCAGGUAAGUCAGUGGUGAAAUCUUUGGGCUUAACCCGAAAACUGCCAUUGAUACUAUCUGUCUUGAAUAUUGUGGAGGUUUGCGGAAUAUGUCAUGUAGCGGUGAAAUGCUUAGAUAUGACAUAGAACACCUAUUGCGAAGGCAGCAAACUACGCAUAUAAUUGACGCUGAGGCACGAAAGCGUGGGGAUCAAACAGG